rnacentral:rRNA from 1 species
GAUGAACGCUGGCGGCGUGCCUAAUACAUGCAAGUCGAGCGAACGGACGAGAAGCUUGCUUCUCUGAUGUUAGCGGCGGACGGGUGAGUAACACGUGGAUAACCUACCUAUAAAACUGGGAUAACUUCGGGAAACCGGAGCUAAUACCGGAUAAUAUUUUGAACCGCAUGGUUCAAAAGUGAAAGACGGUCUUGCUGUCACUUAUAGAUGGAUCCGCGCUGCAUUAGCUAGUUGGUAAGGUAACGGCUUACCAAGGCAACGAUGCAUAGCCGACCUGAGAGGGUGAUCGGCCACACUGGAACUGAGACACGGUCCAGACUCCUACGGGAGGCAGCGGUAGGGAAUCUUCCGCAAUGGGCGAAAGCCUGACGGAGCAACGCCGCGUGAGUGAUGAAGGUCUUCGGAUCGUAAAACUCUGUUAUUAGGGAAGAACAUAUGUGUAAGUAACUGUGCACAUCUUGACGGUACCUAAUCAGAAAGCCACGGCUAACUACGUG